rnacentral:ribozyme from 1 species
ACUACUGAAACCACACCCAUCGACCGUAAUAACAAACGAGCUGUCCGCACGACAGUUCAUGAACGGACCGAACCGUCCGGUCAAACGACCCGCACGACGUUGACUAAUCAUCCGGACGGAUCACGGACCAAGCAGGUUGAAACGAUCCGCCCCGGUGGGUCCAAGUCUGUAAUGAUUGAAACGACCGAUGCCAAGGGAAAGCGCAACGUUGAA